AGUGAACGCUGGCGGUAGGCCUAACACAUGCAAGUCGAACGGCAGCACAGUAAGAGCUUGCUCUUACGGGUGGCGAGUGGCGGACGGGUGAGGAAUACAUCGGAAUCUACUUUUUCGUGGGGGAUAACGUAGGGAAACUUACGCUAAUACCGCAUACGACCUACGGGUGAAAGCAGGGGAUCUUCGGACCUUGCGCGAUUGAAUGAGCCGAUGUCGGAUUAGCUAGUUGGCGGGGUAAAGGCCCACCAAGGCGACGACCCGUAGCUGGUCUGAGAGGAUGAACAGCCACACUGGAACUGAGACACGGUCCAGACUCCUACGGGAGGCAGCAGGGGGGAAUAUUGGACAAUGGGCGCAAGCCUGAUCCAGCCAUACCGCGUGGGGGAAGAAGGCCUUCGGGUUGUAAAGCCCUUUUGUUGGGAAAGAAAAGCAGCAGGUUAAUACCCCGCUGUUCUGACGGUACCCAAAGAAUAAGCACCGGCUAACUUCGUG
rnacentral:rRNA from 1 species